GAUGAAGAACGUAGCGAAAUGCGAUAAGUAAUGUGAAUUGCAGAAUUCAGUGAAUCAUCGAAUCUUUGAACGCACCUUGCGCCCUUUGGCUAUUCCGAAGGGCAUCCCUGUUUGAGUAUCGUGAACACCUCAACUCUCAUGGUUUGCCAUGAUGAGCUUGGACUUUGGGGGUUUUGCUGGCCUUUGGUCGGCUCCUCUCAAACGGAUCAGCUUUCCAGUGUUUGGUGGCGUCACGGGUGUGAUAACUAUCUACGCCUGUGGUUUUCUGCCAGAUAACCUUCAGCGAUGGAGGUUCGCUGGGGCUCAUAAAUGUCUCUCUUCAGUGGAGACAGCUUUUUGGACGUUUGAUCUCAAAUCAGGUAGGACUACCCGCUGAACUUAAGCAUAUCAAUAAGCGGAGGA
rnacentral:misc_RNA from 1 species